rnacentral:rRNA from 1 species
AAACCAACAGGGAUUACCUCAGUAACGGCGAGUGAAGCGGUAACAGCUCAAAUUUGAAAUCUGGCUCUUUCAGGGUCCGAGUUGUAAUUUGUAGAAGAUGCUUUGGGUGUGGCCCUGGUCUAAGUUCCUUGGAACAGGACGUCAUAGAGGGUGAGAAUCCCGUAUGUGACUAGGUGCUUUCGCCCGUGUAAAGCUCUUUCGACGAGUCGAGUUGUUUGGGAAUGCAGCUCAAAAUGGGUGGUAAAUUUCAUCUAAAGCUAAAUAUUGGCCAGAGACCGAUAGCGCACAAGUAGAGUGAUCGAAAGAUGAAAAGCACUUUGGAAAGAGAGUUAAACAGUACGUGAAAUUGUUGAAAGGGAAGCGCUUGCAACCAGACUUCGUUGCGGCCGAUCAUCUAGGGUUCUCCCUGGUGCACUCGGUCGUAACUAGGCCAGCAUCGGUUUGGGUGGUGGGAUAAAGGCCUUGGGAAUGUAGCUUCUUUCGGGGAGUGUUAUAGCCCUCGGUGCAAUGCCGCCUACCUGGACCGAGGACCGCGCUUCGGCUAGGAUGCUGGCGUAAUGGUUGUAAGCGAC